UACAGGGGGUGCAAACGUUGCUCGGAAUCACUGGGCGUAAAGGGUGCGUAGGCGGGUCUUUUAAGUCAGGGGUGAAAUCCCAAGGCUCAACCUUGGAACUGCCUUUGAUACUGGGGAUCUCGAGUCCGGAAGAGGUGAGUGGAACUGCGAGUGUAGAGGUGAAAUUCGUAGAUAUUCGCAAGAACACCAGUGGCGAAGGCGGCUCACUGGUCCGGUACUGACGCUGAGGUGCGAAAGCGUGGGGAACAAACAGGG
rnacentral:rRNA from 1 species